GCAGAGCGCAGAUGUGAUAGUGCAGCCACAUGUGAAUCCUGGUUGAGCUGACUCAAUGCCAUGCCAGGGUGUCUACUUGACAUGAGAUCCAACCAUCUGUUGAAAAAAUCCAAGAACCAAGCUGUGUGAUCUAGCUGAUGGCAGAGGUUGAUUUUGGGCCAGAAGCAAGUUGUAUCCAGUAGGACCACAUGCCAACAUUAAUUGAAGACCUUUUUUGAUUGAGUCAGCUGACCAUUUUGUCCCCCGUGUACUUGCUUGGCUAAGUUUGUAAAGCUGAUUUGUGUUGAAGACUCCUGAAACAUUUGCUUCGAGUCGUUUUCUCUGCCUGAUGAUCUUCCACUUCUCUUUCCUUUCUUUCACAAGAGCCCGCUGGAGUGAUAACACUUUGUUUUUCAAGCCGUUCAGUUGUUCUUCCACGCUUGCAGUUUCCCCGCUGACAUUCUCCCUGCCCGCUGUCUCUUCGCUGACCGUCUCGCCGCUGAUCGUCUUGGUGAUGACCAUCUCCUCGCUCACAGUCCCACCAGUGUAGGCGUUGUUCGUCCGAUCAAACUCUUCAUGGCCAACUUCGAUUUCUGGAACAGAAUAAGAAGAAAGGAGUAGAAGCAUUAACAUUUGUUAAACAUGGGAACAGACGAAGUGCGUUGGGAGAGCAUUCGGCUUGAGCCUCCUCAGGCCGUCCACUCUGCCAUUCUCAUACUGGGUUUCAUCGAAGUGGUCCUACAAGCAAGACGACAGGAACUUUUUAAUGGGUGGUGUCAAGAAAAU